GUCUGGCCAGGAGGUGGUUUCCCAACAAUUCCCUCUUGUCUGCUUGGCUCUGAAGACCACCUGAGUGGGGACAGGAAGCUUCAGUGGUUCUGCUUCAGAAGUCACCCUGGGGUCAGGAUGGAGGAGGAGGUAGAGGAGGAAGCUGGAGACCACCCUGGUGCUCUGUACCCAACCCGGAAGGAACAAACCUCAGGCGUCAAUUCUGAUCUGGGUCCAAGUGACCAUGGGUAGCCUGGAAUAGCUGCCCGAGGCAGGAACUGGAGAGGAUGCGGGUGGCCCUGCUUAAAAUGAGGGCAUCGCGCAAUGAAGUCAUGAAUGAGACUCAGGUGUGCCCCACGAGUGUGCCUGUGGGAAGAAGGGCUCUGACCAGGUCUGCGUUCCAGAGGUGGCCCGUCCCCACCAGCCAACACAUCAAUCUAAUUGGCCGCAAGGAGAAACCCUGAAUCCUGCUGCCCCCUUCCCCGCUUAAUGACAUAGGAACCUAGCUGGAGAGUGAGCAGCUACGCCCCAGCUGAAGCUGCCCUUGAUUAGAUAGCCCUAGUUGACCCGGAAGCUGACGACAGACACAGGUAACUAUCCCAUACCAAAGAACUGCCCGGCUGAGUCCAGCUCAACAGGCCAACUUGCAGAAUUUUGAGCUAAGUAAAUAGCUGCUGUUUUAAGCUACUAAGUUUUGGAGUGAUUAUGCAAAAUUUGAUACAACUGGUUCCAAGAGAACGUGCCAGGUGAAUUAUUUGUGGGAAGAGGAAAGAUAGCAUCUUUAGGAUGCGAUAUGUAUCAGUCCUCAUUAGGCCCCAGGGGCACAGAAUUCUGAAGUAGCAAUAGCAACUUUGGUUCAAGAGCAUGUUGAGUGGGUUUUUUUCUUUUUAAAUUGAGAUAUAAUCCAUAUACCACAGAAUUUACUUUUUCAAAGUGUAGAAUCCAGUGGAUUUUAAUAUAUUCACAAGGUUGUGUGACUAUCACCACUAUCUAGUUCCAGGGCAUUUAAUCACCGUUAAAAGACACCUGUACACAUUAGCGGUCAUUUCCCAUUCUCCUCUCCCUUUGCCCCCUGGAAACCACUACUCUAUUUUCUGUACCUAUGGAUUGGCCUGUUCUGGACAUUUCAUAUAAAUGGAACCACACAACACGUGGCCUUCUGUCUUUGUCUUCUUUCAGUUAGUAUAUAGUUUUAGCUCUGACAUUUAGAUCUUCAAUCUAUUUUGAGUUAACUUUUGUAUAUGGCCUGAGGUAGAGAAACCAACUUCAUUCUUUUGCAAGUGGAUAUCCAGUUGAGCGUGCUUUUCUCACUGAAUAUAUUCCAAUGAAGGUGAAACUCUUCCCUAAGCAAUUCUGAUGCAAGAGGUAGAGGCGGCAGCACAAGCCGAGGAGUGCUUUCUCUCAGACGCUGCUGAGCCCUAUC
rnacentral:lncRNA from 1 species